rnacentral:ncRNA from 2 species
CUGUAUUUAAAAGCGCCUGAACUAAUCUUCAGUGGUUAGAUUAGUUGACGAGGUGGAGGUUUAUCGAAAAUUCGGCGGAUACCUCCCGGUUGGAGACGCACAACCGAAAAUUUCGUCUUUAAAACACAGAGGCAACUCUGUGCACAAAGAGAGGAAAAUGCGCAUAC